rnacentral:lncRNA from 1 species
AGGCUUUAAUAAUCAGCUCUCUGGAUGUGUAAACCAGCUUUGUAGGUUUGUAAGAUUUGUAAGUACUGUACAAGGACAUCACUGCUUCCCACAUGGCUCUGCUUUCAGAUAAGGGCUUCAGUGAGAUGGAACUCUUAGAUCUCCUCCUCGAGCAGGCUGAUGGGAACCAGGGACCAGGCAGUGGCCUUGCUAACUCAGCCUGGCCAAUCACAGAUCAAAGUAAAAAGUCAGUGGCGCUAUCUAUCAGCCCUUAAGCAGAACGAGCUCUGCACGCGCUGGCGACGAGGGCAAUCUGAGGCGAUCGCUAACUUCUUCGCUGAGAGCACAGUGACGUCUCAUUAAAACCGUCUGACCUAC